UUCUCUGAAGCAAAACCCUUACAAAAUCGCUAUCCAACCCACGAUUUCUCUGAAGCAUCUCCAAUGGCGUAGCAAUGCCAAUGCGCUCUGCCGCCGACAUUCGCGCGACCUCCUCUUCUUCUACGCUACGGCCUCAUCAUACUUCUCUUUCUUCCUCAUCCUCCUCCUCCUCCGCUGCACCGUCGUCUUCGUCUUCCUCCUCCUCCUCUGCUCCGACGCCGUCUACGCACUCUAUUCUCUACUAUGUCCUCGCUGAACUCGCCGCAGGAGGAGGCCUCUGUCAAAACUGUGAGAAUGGUGAUAAGGGGGAGAGUGCAAGGUGUGUUCUAUCGGAAUUGGACGAUUGAUAAUGCGAAGGGGAUGGAUCUGUGGAGGCGUUGUUUUCGGGAGAAGGUUGAGGAGAUGGAGCAGCGGUGUAGGAGAGGUGAGGUCCGCCUGAUGCUAUGGUGACUGGAAUUCAGGCAUUUCCGAGCACGGAUGAUCCUGGGAAUGAACUCGAGCGGAAGCCUACUGUGUGAGUGAAUGAAUCAGCGAUUCUGAUCAGAGGAGGAGAUAAAUGCUACAACAGGACUGUUUGUGAGGAACAUCUUAAUGUGCUCCUACCUGCAAAGCCACCCUUUCAUCCUCGCAUGUUUCAAACUUGUGUUGUUGUUGGAAAUUCGGGGAUCUUCUGAAGACAGAAUUUGGAAAGGAAAUCGACGGGCAUGAUGCAGUUAUAAGAGACAAUGAGGCACCUGUCAAUGAGAAAUAUGCCAAGUAUGUUGGUUUGAAGAGAGACUUUCGCCUUGUGGUUAGGGGUGCUACUCGUAACAUUAUCAAGAUUCUCAAUGGAUCAGAUUUUCUCAAUCAACAGAGAUCCUUCUUGGAGGAAGUCAGAAAGCUAAAAAGGUCACAUGAUUCGGUAAUUAAGAGAGCAUCAGUCACAUUGCAUGAAUCAGAGUGAGUGGGCAUUGCUGAGGAGGGAUGGGGGUACGUAUAUGCAUCACUCAUUCUGUAUGGGAAAUAUGUGCUGCAAUGCUCUCUGCUCUCUAUGCUCAAUUCGAUACAAAUGUAUUCCUAGAAAAAGCUUCAGCAUAUCGGUGGAUUUAAAGAAAAAGGCUUCAGCAUAUUGGUGGAUUCAUAUUUCAAGGUAUCUUGCUUCCAUUAUUUGAGAAGUUAUAUCAUAUUUGGAAAAAAAAUAUAUGGCAAUUUAAAGCUGGUAUUACUCCCCCGCCAUGCAAAAAAUUUGUGCAUUUUUUGCGAGGGAGGGAGUAAUAUUUUUUUGGGUUGGCGCGGGCCGUUUUAAAAUUCAAGCCCAAUAGGCCCUGCCUGAUUUUGCAUUGGGCUUGAAAACCCAAACCAAGGCAUGGCCCGGUUUCAAAUUAUACCGGGCCAGCCCAGCCCAAAUUUUUAAUAUUAGAUUUCAUAAAUAAUUUGCCUUUUUUAUUAAACAAUAAAUUAUAUUAAUCUAAAUUGAUAUAAUUAGAACAAAAUACUUUUAUUGAUAAUUAAGAAAUUAAAUAAUUAAUUAUUAAUUUUAUUUUAAAGCUAAUAUUAUAUUAAAAAAAUAUUUUUACUUAAAUUAUUUUAAUAAAUUGGACUGCGCCUAGCACGUAACAAUUUGCAGAGGCCUCGAAUCGGUUUGGUUAUUCAACCAUGCUGGGCUGGCCCGACCUAUAAAUAGUUUGGAUCUAAUUUUUAGACCCAAAUCUUUAUUUUUUUCAUAUCGUAUAUGGAUUGGAUAGUAGUGGGCUCUACAUAAACUUUACCUACGGACUAAAUACACUAAAAAAUAAGUUAGGAUAAAAUUUAGAAACAAACUUAAUGCAUCCAAAUCCCGGAACCUAAACAUAACACUAUUACUAUAUGUAAGAAGCUAAAAUAACUACAAUGCAUAAAUGUAAAAGGAAAGGGACGAAUUACUCUCUAUGAUGUAUUCGGUAGUCCGAUCAUCCGGCCACUCCCUCUCGUAUGCAUCUAAAAAGAUUUAAAAUAGAUAUUAGUAUAUAUGUAUAGGAAAACAACAAAAUAAUAUUAAAAUAACUUACCUUGGAUUUGAAAUCGAGAUCGAAGGACCUUUGCGGAUCCCCUCGUCUCCACAUGAGCUUUACCUACAAAGUAAAAACACUUAAAAAUAAGUUAAUAUAAAAUAUAGAAACAAAAUUAAUGCAUGUAUGUCCCGGGACGGACGUAAAAAUAAAUCUAUUUCUAUAUGCAUAAUGCUAAAUUAAAUUAAAUGCAUAAAUGUAAGAGGAAAGGGACGAAUUACUCCCUAUGAUGUAUUCGGUCGUCCGAUCAUCCGGCCACUCCCUCUCGUAUGCAUCUAAAAAGAUUUAAAAUAGAUAUUAGUACAUAUGUAUAGGAAACAACAAAAUAAUAUUAAAAUCACUUACCUUGGAUUUGAAAUCGAGAUCGAAGGAUAUUUGCGGAUCCCCUCGUCUCCACAUAAGCUUUACCUACAAAGUAAAAACACUUAAAAAUAAGUUAAUAUAAAAUAUAGAAACAAAAUUAAUGCAUGCAUGUCCCGGGACGGACGUAAAAAUAAAUCUAUUUCUAUAUGCAUAAUGCUAAAUUAAAUUAAAUGCAUAAAUGUAAGAGGAAAAGACGAAUUACUCCCUAUGAUGUAUUCGGUCGUCCGAUCAUCCGGCCACUCCCUCUCGUAUGCAUCUAAAAAGAUUUAAAAUAGAUAUUAGUACAUAUGUAUAGGAAAAACAAAAUAAUAUAAAAGAAAAGUAAUUCUAACGCAUGCAUGUCCCGAGAUAUAAAAAUAAUUCUAACCCUAUAUGCAAUAUGAUAAAAUAAAUGCAAUGCAUAAAUAUAAAGAAAAGUACGAAAAACUCCCUGUUUUGUUUUCGGUAGUCCGCUCAUUCGGCCGCUCUCCCCAAAAGCUGUACCUACAAACUAAAAAUACUAAAAAAUAUGUUAGUAUAAAAUUAAGAAACAAAAUUAAUGCAUGCAUGCAAGUCCCGGGACGUAAAAAUAAUCCUAACUCUAUAUGCAAUAUGAUAAAAUAAACGAAAUGCAUAAAUGUAAAAGAGAAAAGUAAGAAAAACUCCCUGUUUUGUUUUCGGUAGUCCGCUCAUCCUGCCGCUCUCCCCAAAAGCUGUACCUACAAGCAAAAAACACUAAAAAAUAUGUUAGUAUAAAAUUAAGAAACAAAAUUAAUGCAUGCAUGCAAGUCCCGG